GCUACCGUAGAGCAAAGGUUAGCAUGUCUGCCUCUGAAGCUGAACGCCUAGAUUCGAAUCCUGGCGAGAACA
rnacentral:tRNA from 1 species